GCCCAGAUGGCGAAAUAGGUAGACGCGUUGGUCUCAAACACCAAUAACAUUUAUGUUGUGUCGGUUCAAGUCCGACUCUGGGUA
rnacentral:tRNA from 1 species